GACGAACGCUGGCGGCGUGCUUAACACAUGCAAGUCGAACGGAAAGGCCCCUUUGGGGGUACUCGAGUGGCGAACGGGGGAGUAACACGGGAGUAACCUGCCCUUGACUUCGGGAUAACUUCAGGAAACUGGGGCUAAUACCGGAUAGGAAUCCUUGCUGCAUGGGGGGGGUUGGAAAGCUUCGGCGGUGUUGGAUGGAUUCGCGGGCUAUCAGCUUGUUGGUGGGGUAGUGGCUUACCAAGGCUGUGACGGGUAGCCGGCCUGUGAGGGCGACCGGCCACCCUGGGACUGAGAUGCGGCCCAGACUCCUACUGGAGGCAGCAGUGGGGAAUAUUGCUCAAGGGGCGGCAGCCUGAUGCAGCAACGCCGCGGGCGGGAUGGCGGCCUUCUGGUUGUAAACCGCUUUCAGCAGGGGCGAAGCUUGUGGUGACGGUACCUGCAGAAGAAGCACCGGCUAACUACGUG
rnacentral:rRNA from 1 species